rnacentral:rRNA from 2 species
UACGAAGGGGGCUAGCGUUGUUCGGAAUUACUGGGCGUAAAGCGCACGUAGGCGGAUGUUUAAGUUAGGGGUGAAAUCCCAGGGCUCAACCCUGGAACUGCCUCUAAUACUGGGCAUCUAGAGUCCGAGAGAGGUGAGUGGAAUUCCGAGUGUAGAGGUGAAAUUCGUAGAUAUUCGGAGGAACACCAGUGGCGAAGGCGGCUCACUGGCUCGGUACUGACGCUGAGGUGCGAAAGCGUGGGGAGCAAACAGG